rnacentral:rRNA from 1 species
AUUGAACGCUGGCGGCAGGCCUAACACAUGCAAGUCGAGCGAGCGGCGGACAGGUGCGUAAUGUAUAGUGAUAUGCCCGCUAGAGUGGGAUAAAUACUGGAAACGGUGUCUAAUACCGCGUACUUUCGGAUGAACCCCUAUGGGAUUAGCUAGUUGGUAAGGUAAUGGCUUACCUAGGCGACGAUCCCUAGAUGGCCUGAGAGGAUGAUCAGCCACACUGGGACUGAGACACGGCCCAGACUCCUACGGGAGGCAGAAGUGGGGAAUAUUGCACAAUGGGCGAAAGCCUGAUGCAGCCAUGCCGCGUGUAUGAAGAAGGUCCUAGGGUUGUAAAGUACUUUCAGUAGGGAGGCGUUACCUACAGAAGAAGCAACGGCUAACUCCGUGCCAGCAGCCGCGGUAAUUC